UACGAAGGGGGCUAGCGUUGCUCGGAAUCACUGGGCGUAAAGCGCACGUAGGCGGCUUUCUAAGUCAGGGGUGAAAUCCUGGAGCUCAACUCCAGAACUGCCUUUGAUACUGGGAAGCUCGAGUCCGGAAGAGGUGAGUGGAACUCCGAGUGUAGAGGUGAAAUUCGUAGAUAUUCGGAAGAACACCAGUGGCGAAGGCGGCUCACUGGUCCGAUACUGACGCUGAGGUGCGAAAGCGUGGGGAGCAAACAGG
rnacentral:rRNA from 1 species